GCCCUAGUAGCUCAGCGCCAGAGCACCGGUCUUGUAAAUCGGACGUCGAGGGCUAAAUUCCCUCCUAGUGCU
rnacentral:tRNA from 1 species